rnacentral:rRNA from 1 species
GACGGAGGUCCCGAGCGUUGUUCGGCAUUAUUGGGCUUAAAGCGCGUGUAGGCGGAACGGUAAGUACCUUGUGAAAUCCCCGGACUCAAUCCGGGAACUGCUCGGUAUACUGCCGAUCUUGAGGCAGGUAGGGGUCACUGGAACCUUAGGUGGAGCGGUGAAAUGCGUAGAUAUCUAAGGGAACGCCUGUGGCGAAAGCGGGUGACUGGGCCUGUCCUGACGCUGAGACGCGAAAGCGUAGGGAGCAAACGGG